AGACAGGUGAUUGACAGUCAGCUGGUGGAGAGAGUGGUGAGCAGGCAGCCAGCAGAGGGGGUGGUGAGUGAGUAAGGUACCUCUUUACCCCUCCCAGGAGGGGAGGUGAACUCUGCAGAUGAACCUCUGAACUCUGGGUCUGCACUGACCAAGGACAGCAACUGGCUUAGCUGAGAUCACAUUGAUCAUGCUGAUUAAUGAACUGCAGGAGACAUGAGGGAUCUCUCAGCAACACAAAAACAGAAGAAGGUAAAGAAACAUGGGAAGGAUGAAAUGAGAGACGAGGAAGAAGGUGACAUUCUUGGGAGAAAACUGUAUUCUUCCUCACCCAGCCUGUAUCCCUGCAGUCACUGCAGGACAACCCCAUCAGGAAAACUCAUUUUCUUCUGGGGUGAAAUAUCUGUGUGCAAACUUCCAUUCUGCCUGACAGACCAUUCCCUGUGAAGCCAGGAGUCCUGAUACAACCUGUGCAUCCUUUCUCCUCUAGAAGCUGUUCACUGUGCCUAACCUCACACAAAAAUGAACAUUCCAGAAAACCACAUCUCCAAACCAGUACAGUCCUACCCCUAAAAUGAAGGGAUCACUUUAGAUUUUGCAGUGUACUUUUCAAUAUGGUGACUGGUUUGAUAGAGCAACAAGGAAAGGAAUUCACAAGAUAAUUCCUGGGGGCCUGCAGGAAUGUUUGUUUCACCAUUGAAAGAAGGAGAGUCUUGAGCUUUAGAAUUUUUGUAAAUAAACAAGGUAAACAUUUAAGGCUGAUUUUUAAUCAGUUACUGUAACUGCAUGCACAGCUGAGUAAUGAUGGACAUAUGUUGCAUGGACACUACAAUCAGACAGUGUCCUUUAAGAGGGAGCAGGCCCUGUGCACCUGUGAAUCAUCAGCUCACUCCAAGUGGAAUUUAAGAGAGGGCACCUGGGCCAUAUAAAUAGGAGAGACCUGAUGAGCUAGAGGGAAGCUGAAGGGUAGAGUGGUAGAUCAAGGAGUGAGCUACUUGAGAGAAUGAUAGUGUCUUCAGAAAACAGACAGAUCUCUACAGACCAUCUCUGGAAGGAGGGAGGAAUCAUUAGGAAGUCAGUUGAGGGGCUAACUUGCUGGGAGGUUGAAAAAAGCUGAGGGCUAGGAAACCCGUGGAGGGGCUAGCAGGUUGACCUUUCUGAGGCAGUGCUGGGAGGCUAAAAAGGGCUAAGAGUUAGUGGAGGAGCUAGUCUGCUGCCCUUUGUGCCAGAGAGCCAUGGCUGGAGAAAGUGGAAGAGAACUGAAGGCUGAGAGAAGCAGAGGGAGUUGCCUGAUGGCUCUCCAGGCUACAGAGGGUGAGAAGGAAGGUGAGGGAUACUGGCUGCAAACCCUGUUAGAACAACCCAGAGCUCAGACCUACCAGACUGGACCGAUAAUCCAACCAGCCCAAUAGCCUGCCUCAGCUGCUGUGGCUCCUGCCUAAUGCUCCACAGGAAAGCAAAGCCUCCACCC